AUACACUCUCAAUUCACAUCUCUCUAUUAAAGAUUUUUAAAUGGCAAACAUAAAGCCUGAAUCUUCUGUUGCAGUAGAAGGUUCUGUGCAUGUUCUACCAAUGUCUGCGUGAGGUUCCUCCAGGUUCUCCAGCUUCCUUUCACCUAUCAAAAACAGGCCACACUUCCUCCAUUGGCUUCCUGUAUAUGUCCACAUCUAGAUUUAAAACAUUACACAGGCAAAUAUGCUACCUCCUACCAUACAUGAAGGCACUCAUCACACCAUUCUCUGCACCAUGUUCCCUUUAAACCUCGAGCACAGCAUGACUUCACCCGAUAUCACUCAAGGUACUCAUGCUUCAAGAUUCUUCUCUGAUCUGGCACCAGGGUGGUGGAAUGACCUUCCUCUGACUGUACAAAGAGCUGAGCCAGCGGCUGCCUUUAAACGAACACUGAAGACCUAUUUCUUCACUGAGCCCUCAAAUGAACAUUAACUAUAAAAAAAAAAAAACCCUAACUUGUAUUCUUUUUUUCUUUUUUUUUUUUAUGUACAACUUGAUCCCAGGUAGGAAACUGACCAAACAUUAGCCCAAUGUAAUUUUGUCCAUUGGGAAACGGACCAGGGCCAACAGAUAUUCAGCCAUCCAGGGUCCACCAAACUUGGUCCAACAUUAAUAGGGUUGUUAUAAAAAAGUGAGCAGAACAUUGUCUAGGGAGGUCAACAUAGCCAUCCAAAAUAGACCUUGGGCCAAAAUCAGGUUGCUACCUGAGAUAGUAGACCCUGACCUUAAUCUCUGACCUAUUUGUACCUAUGUGAGGAUCUCGUUCUGAUGGAGUUAUGGGUGCUCUAGAUAAGUGCAUCUGUUAAAAGUCUGUAUAAUUAUGGUACACUGUACAUCAUAGGAAGAACUAUUUCUUUCUUGUGUUCUUCACUCACCACACCCACACACUUACGCACUCAUACAUACCCCAGUCAUGUUUUGGCCCAACCUAGACUGGGGCAUGACGAUGGUACGGGAACUUCUCUGCUCUUCAGGCUAUUGCAGUCAUCUUCAAGCUCUUUCAUCAAAUCUGGAAAAAGUACCUAAAAAAAUGUAUCUUGCAAUGUCUUGUCACUGGAGUGAAUUCCUCAAGGUUCUUUAGUACUGUUAGUUACCUUUCAAACUAAUUUAGGAACCACAGUUAAAAUAUUUGUACUUG
ensembl:lncRNA